rnacentral:rRNA from 1 species
CAGUAGCCGCGGUAAUACAGAGGGUGCAAGCGUUAAUCGGAUUUACUGGGCGUAAAGGGCGCGUAGGUGGUUAUGUAAGUGAGAUGUGAAAUCCCCGGGCUCAACCUGGGAACUGCAUCUUAUACUGCGUAGCUGGAGUGCAGUAGAGGGUAGUGGAAUUUCCGGUGUAGCGGUGAAAUGCGUAGAUAUCGGAAGGAACACCAGUGGCGAAGGCGGCUACCUGGACUGACACUGACACUGAGGCGCGAGAGCGUGGGGAGCAAACAGGAUUAGAUACCCGCGUAGUCCCUGUCUCUUAUAC